rnacentral:sRNA from 1 species
UUUGGGAAGAAUGUGGUAGUGGUUGGGAUGUGCAGAGGCAAAACCGUCUCAUUCCUCUUUACCUUGAUCUCCCAAAUGUCAGAGUCUGCAAAAUGAAGCUCUUGAAGACUGUCCAUAGUAGCAACAAAUGAGAUUACAGAUGAUUGCGGAUUAAGAUUCUCGAUGCGCAGAGCUCGUGUACAGCUUGCCAACCUCUGGUUGCUAAGGAAUUGUUCCAAAAUAGAAGCAAGACCAAGAGUUAUGGUUAAAGUUUGCAA